CCUACGGGAGGCAGCAGUGGGGGAUAUUGCACAAUGGGGGAAACCCUGAUGCAGCGACGCCGCGUGGGUGAAGAAGUAUUUCGGUAUGUAAAGCCCUAUCAGCAGGGAAGAAAGAAGACGGUACCUGACUAAGAAGCCCCGGCUAACUACGUGCCAGCAGCCGCGGUAAUACGUAGGGGGCGAGCGUUAUCCAGAUUCACUGGGUGUAAAGGGAGCGUAGACGGCCGUGCAAGCCAGGAGUGAAAGCCCGGGGCCCAACCCCGGGACUGCUCGUGGAACUGUGCAGCUGGAGUGCGGGAGGGGCAGGCGGAAUUCCUGGUGUAGCGGUGAAAUGCGUAGAUAUCAGGAGGAACACCGGCGGCGAAGGCGGCCUGCUGGACCGCGACUGACGUUGAGGCUCGAAAGCGUGGGGAGCGAACAGGAUUAGAUACCCGUGUAGUC
rnacentral:rRNA from 1 species